GCGAAAGCAACAAGAUUCGCAUGUUCACUGAGGUAAGGUAACCAUUUGUUUCAGGUGUGAACAUGCCCAAGAUCUCAGGAUUGCAAGGUUCUGUGGAUUUAGUGUGCAAGGAUCUGCAGUUCUGUGGAAAUGUUGUGCAAGGAUCUGCAGUUCUGUGGAAUUAUUGUGCAAGGAUCUGCAGUUCUGUGGAUUUAGUGUGCAAGGAUCUGCAGUUCUUUGGAAGUGUUUUGCAAGGAUCUGCAGUUCUGUGGAUUUAUAGUGUGACCCGGAGGAUCUGGCGUUUUGGAUUUAUAUUGCGAGGAUCUGGUGUUCUGUGAGAUCACCUGUUUAAGGACCUCAUGUGGCCUACUUGAAGGAAUCAUCUUCACAUUCAGAUGUACUCGGAACCCAGAUGGAUGAAGGGAUAUUGUUAUAUGGGGAUCAGGAUAACUAGGGCUAUGGGAUCUGCUUUAUCCCUGCGUCCUAUAUGCAUCAAACUGGACUUUGGAAAUGGUCAUUCCUACAUCUGAUUUAGGACCACCUUCAACAGGACUAUGGGAUCUGCUUUAUCCCUGCGUCCUAUAUGCAUCAAACUGGACUUUGGAAAUGGUCAUCCCUACAUCUGAUUUAGGACCACUUUCAACAGGACUAUGGGAUCUGCUUUAUCCCUAUGUCUAUCAUUUCUCCAUCGAUCAUUUAGCGAGUGCACAAUGGUCUUUUCCACUGAGACUUUUUACAUAAAUGAUAGCCAACUAUUAGGGGACUGAAAAUUCACAGGGUAGGUUUUUAUUUCUAGCUCAGAGGGAUCUGUUAUAUCCCUCUGAAGACCGAGACUGUGGGAUCUCCUAUAUCCCCAUGUCAUUAGGGCUGAGGUGGGUGCGGUGAUAUAAACUGAACAUAAUUGGAGUUUAUUCCAAUUUGUGGGAUGUGCGGCAUUAACCAUGGAGUGUACUAGGGCUCCAAUGCGAGAUGUGCGGCUAUUAACCCAGUGCAUGGGGACAGACAUGGCUUUGUCAUGACCUGACAUGGCUUGUCAGUCUUCUUUUUAUCAAUGCGUACAGGUACUUGCAUCUCUGCAUAGGGCUUGGGUCAGCAUCUCUACAAGGUGUCUGUGGCAUGUUUGUAGCCAUGAAUCUAUCUUUUCAAACAUCGCUUCAUGCUGGCUCACUGGUGGCUUCAACUGGCAGAGAACCAGAAUAUAGCAUGAAAACGUAAUGUUUCCAGCGAGGAACAACCACACAGCUAGUACAAUCCUGACAUGGAUGACAGCAUUCAACAUGGCGAUGAUGGCAAUGCUAGCAAGGACUUGGUACUUCUCUACUCUCUGUUUUCAAAGUUUUCAUUCAGGGACAACCACAGGGUUACAUUCGUGAUAUGAGAUGGCAGCAUCAGCAUGAUAGCAGCAAUGCCAGGACAGUACCCCACAUCAAGGCAUCAACUUUGGACUUCUGCAUCACUACAUAGCUGCCACUUUUUAAAGCCUCAACUUAUCACCUUCAUAUUUAUCCUCACUUUGAUACAUUCACACUCGACUUCACCGUAUUCACCCCUCACUUUAUUACCACGGCAACUCUCAUGUUCACAUCCACUUCACCACUUUCACAUCUACCAGACUUAUUCCCACUUUAGCACCAUUCACCCUCACUUUCACCACAUUCACCUUUACCACCACGCUGGCAGCAAACAUCAAGUUGUCUACUCUGAGCUGCUGCAUUGCUUCCAGCCUGGAAUCUUGUCUCCCAAUGUGGUCAUUUCAUCACCUGUCUGAGAUCAGUUGAGGUGGACUGCAUACACUUACAGCAUAAAGGUUCCUGCUACACCUUCUGGGCAGGUCCAUGAGAAAGAGAUUCAUGAGGAUUGGUCUUUUUGGAAGAGUCAAAACCACUAACAAGAUUGAUGCCAAGAGGCUUUGCAGCUGAGUGAUAUCAACCGUGGUGCCAAUGCAUAAAUUCCCAGUCUUCAUAGACCUGGUCCCUAAUGCCCACUGUUGUUGGUCUUGCAACAAGCCUGAGCCCUGAAUCCAAUGCUUAGAUCCAUAGCCAGGAACUUCAACUUGGAUUUCUGUGGCAGAGCAAGCAACAGACUUGGAGUGACCAUGCUAGACUUCUUGGAAACCAUUCCUGGAAGUCUUUCUGCAGCAUUGACUAGAACUUUUCAUCGCCAAACUGGUUUAUUUGUAAAUUGUCUGUCUUUGUGAAAAACAAUCUUUGAUUCAUCAAAGUGUGUUUCUGAGUAAUAAACAGUUGAAUAUAACAUCCUAAUAUUUAGGCCUAUGCUGACAUUUUGUACUUUUUCUGGUACAUAGUUGAUCUGGAAAGGCAUUAUUGAAUGAGAAUGGUUCAGUGCGGCCACUCUACAAGUUGCAUAUUCCGACAAAAGAAAUAUAUACACUAGCCCUCAUCCCCAAGUGUGUUUCAUUUUGAAAUUGGAGGAUUGAGGAUAGUUUCGACUUGAUCAUUACUUGCUGGGAUUUCUUCAAUCUAAAGAUUACUGAAAAUGGUUUGUUUAAAAGCAAGUUCAGUUGCAGCCAUACUUUGAAUUCACAUUGGAUUUUUCCUACAUGACAUCAUUACAGCGCCCUCAUUUUCCAGCCCCCAAACUACCGUCUUUCAGGUUUUGCUGAAUGUUUAUAAUUACUGCUUUAUAUAUGAAUAAUUUAUCAACUUAUUUUAUAGGCAAGAACUUCCCCAUGUUUCUUGAAAUUUGUGUUCACACAUCCAAGAUUCAGAAAAGCCAAAACUUGAGUUUGAAAUGCCAGCUUCAAAGAAGAUUGGACUUUUUAAAUAGUAAAACUGAGAAUAUUAAGCUAAUUGCUUCUUCCAUGAUGUUUGAAGUACCAAUUUACUUUUAACCAUGAUGGCUUAAAACUUCCUUACUUUUUGCCAAUAUUUUACUUGAGGAACAAGUGCAUUACCUCUUUCCCUUUUAUAAGACUUGAGAUAGCCUGUUGAACUUUUGGUUUUUUUUGUUUUAACUCUUGUUUUAAAUGCUUUAUUUGAAUGAAAGGUUCACUUCGCUUUCCCCGUAACUUCCUUUUAGUUCCCAAAUGUGAAAUAAUUUCCAGUUUAUAAUUUAGAAUUACUCAACAGUAUUUGGCCCACUGCAUCUUCAUUCCUGCUUCUAUGCAGUAAUCAGAUAGGAACAUUUUCAAAAUUAUUAAUUUUUAAAAGAAUUAAUAAAAAAAGAUCAUGUUCACUUGUAGAGAUCCUCUGAAUAAAAGAAGGGCUGCUUUCCUCAAA